GGACAUAAACAAUGGAUGCUGACUUUUACUGGGUGUAACCAAUCACCAACAUACACCACCAACUUGGAAUUGUAUUUAAAUUGCUGGUCCUGCCAUACUGAAGAGUUUUGCUACAAGGCCAUCAGUGAGAUUGGCGACCUUUCUGUCCAUCCCUGGACCUACUCCACCAUUCCCUGGCAUCCAGCCAUCAGCUGGAGAGAACUACCAGACAAGGACAACCUCUGCUCUUUGGCUAAGAGAAGUCAUGUGGCAUCGGAGGUAACCCAGAUGUGACUCCAGCAAUCAGCAGGGAUUAGAGAAGAAAGUCUCUCAUGUGAAGCUCAGAAGACAGUAAAAAAAUGGAUAAGCAAAUAUAAAAGAAAAAAUUCCAGGAGUCAAGUGUAGAGAAUUGUGCAUGCUGAGCAAGUACUCUACAAUCCCCAGCCCUGCUCUUCAAAAUUUGCUGUCACUUAAGUAUUGUUCAUCUGUUUAAUUUUAGUCAUUCAGGUGAAGUUUGUACUGUUAUCUCAUUAUGAUUUUAAUUGCAUUCCCCUGAUAAAUAAUAAAGCUUUUCAUAUAUUU